CUGAGGCAUCGAGCCGUUAUAGAGGCAAUGUCUAAAGCCUUGAAUACAGGGCUGUCAGUCUCCGUCAAAGGUAACAAUGUUUGCAGUAAUGCCUCCAAGUUCAUUUGCAUUCAAGUAUUUGACUGGGAAACCACCUGAUGUACACUAAUAGUACAUUUUCAACAGAAGCUACCACUACUUUUGGGUAAUCCUGGUCGUUAAUUAGUAGUAGUUUCACCGUUCAACACUUACUACUAGGUCAGAGUUGUUUUGGUUCGGUUCCUUAGGGGCUAUUGGUGGUGACCUGGACGAGAUGCUUUUAGGCCAGAGUGUUGGCAACUCUAUUGGUACCAGUAAGCACAAGGAAGGGUGUCCAGAAACAACCUUUCUAGGUUAUCGUGUUUUAUGCAGUAACCAAAUGAUCUUAACUCUCAUGGCAAAGUGGACAGUCGUACAGUUCACGCAAGAGCAUAUAAAGUCACGGGGUAAUCUACAAAGAUGUCUUCAACACAAGCGAUUUAUGAACUACUUGUAGACUGGUUUGGACAAUCAACAGGGUAAUCUACAAAAAUGGACCCAAAAACCAAUUUUCCUGAUUCUACAUACCAGUAAAUAAAGCUGAAUACAUGUUGGAUUGGGUGCAGAUGCAAUGCUGAUACAGUGCAUGCAAGAGCACAUAAUAUUAGGAGUUUAGGCUUACCCUCGCUUUCAGAAGAACUUGUCAAUCAGUUCACAGGAUUUUGAAGGCAGGUACUAUAUCAUGCACAAAAGUCUGUUCCCUUAGCCAUCAAGAGAGUGAACAUGAAUCCACUCCACUGAAUAUGAAACACUCAAGCAGUUGAACAAGUAACUAAUGGAAUACCCAAUAGAAGUCGCAACAUAAGGGCAUAUGUGAACAGGGAGGAGGAGUCACAGGAAGCAGGUAUUCCCCCAGUGGCUGUGGUUAUACCUGUAGCUGAGCAAGCAUCUGUGACUUCUAGCCUUUCAGCUUCAACCCUCCAAUGUGCAAAUUGAGUGUGAGGAAAGGCAUCAUACAAAUGAGAUGGUUUCAUUUUCUUACAAUGCAUCAUUGCUAUUAAAAAUUUGAAUGAAUUACAUGACAAAAUGUCUUAAAAGUUUAUAAAUAGUAUAAUAAAUUUUAAAUAUAAACAUGUUUUCUAUAAUUUUGUUUUUAAAUAUGCCAAUAUAAUGUGGACCUUCAUGCACUGCUGGAAAAUGUCACUCCUGCUAAAUGGAAAUCACAAUAGCCUGAUGUAAUUUUCCUCUAAGAUUUAACAGCCGAUAUUAAGUAUCUGUCCGAUUUCCUAAUAAUUUACAUUAUAUUGAAAUUUAAAACUAAUCAUAUAAUUGAAUAAUUUCAUAUACUACUAGUCCCAGAAUAUUUUGAAAAAUUUCAACUUACUUGAGGGUGUUAUCAACAACUCCAUAAGGAUCUGAAGGGGGAGCCAUCUUACAAGAUCCUGCUAUGUGGUAUGUGGUGGCUGAUAGAUGCCGUACCACACAUUCCCAAUAUGCAUCAGAGUCUUUUGCUUCUCUCUCACAUCCUGGUAACGUCUGUGGCGAAGUGAAAUUUUGACAUUAGAACAGCACAUCAAGUUUGUAAUUUGCCAAAGUGCCACAAACAGAGUCAGUCAGCUGGAUCACUUGAUACUGUCAAGUUUUGUCAAAAUGAGUUUCAAAAGGUCUAAAUAUCUCAAAAAGUUUAGCACAUACCUCUGUUGAUGAUCAACAAAAUUCUCAGGAACACAUACGUCCAUGUAAAAGGUACAAAUACAGUGGCUUGUCUUCU